GAUGAAGAACGUAGCGAAAUGCGAUAAGUAAUGCGAAUUGCAGAAUUCAGUGAAUCAUCGAAUCUUUGAACGCACCUUGCGCUCCUUGGCAUUCCGAGGAGCAUGCCUGUUUGAGUGUCAUUAAAUUCUCAAGACCUGUCUGCUUUUUUGAUAGGUAUUGGAUUUUGGGGGUUGCAGGCUGUUUCAAAUAAAUAGCCUUGCUCUCCUUGAAUGUAUUAGUGGAGAAAAGCCAUUGAACUCCAUUGGUGUGAUAAAACCUAUCAAUGCCAGGAGCAAUAUCACUACUUCUCUCUGCUGUCUAACUGUGACUGUCUGUAUUAAUUAGUAUGGAUGGGGACAACUUGACCAACUUGACCUCAAAUCAGGUAGGACUAACCGCGGAACUUAAGCAUAUCAAUAAGCGGAGGA
rnacentral:misc_RNA from 1 species